GAUGAACGCUGGCGGCGUGCCUAAUACAUGCAAGUCGAGCGAACGGAUGAGAAGCUUGCUUCUCUGCUGUUAGCGGCGGACGGGUGAGUAACACGUGGAUAACCUACUUAUAAGACUGGGAUAACUUCGGGAAACCGGAGCUAAUACCGGAUAAUAUUUUGAACCGCUUGGUUCAAAAGUGAAAGACGGUCUUGCUGUCACUUAUAGAUGGAUCCGCGCUGCAUUAGCUAGUUGGUAAGGUAACGGCUUACCAAGGCAACGAUGCAUAGCCGACCUGAGAGGGUGAUCAGCCACACUGGAACUGAGACACGGUCCAGACUCCUACGGGAGGCAGCAGUAGGGAAUCUUCCGCAAUGGGCGAAAGCCUGACGGAGCAACGCCGCGUGAGUGAUGAAGGUCUUCGGAUCGUAAAACUCUGUUAUUAGGGAAGAACAUAUGUGUAAGUAACUGUGCACAUCUUGACGGUACCUAAUCAGAAAGCCACGGCUAACUACGUG
rnacentral:rRNA from 1 species